rnacentral:miRNA from 1 species
UUCGGCGGCAGUCCGGCUGCU